rnacentral:tRNA from 1 species
GCGGAAGUGGCGGAAUUGGUAGACGCACCAGAUUUAGGUUCUGGCGCCGCAAGGUUUGAGAGUUCAAGUCUCUCCUUCCGCACCA